rnacentral:lncRNA from 1 species
CGCUGGGCUCAGCCCUUAUCCCACAUCCACAGAAGGAACAGCGCCAUCUGCAGCAGGACCAUCCUUGUGACAGACGGGAGGGGCAGCCUCGUCGUCCCUCCCUGUGGCGUAUGUCACGCCUGCCUGUCUUUGCAUAGUUGAAAAUGCCGCGUGACGGGGUCCAAAGUCAUCAGCGAGGCACACGCAGCCUUCUGCAACCCAGCAGUGGGGAGGAAAUGGAGGCAGUGUCCGCCCUGUCUGGGCCUCAGCAGCUGUGGCUCCAACCAAUCCCAGACGACAGAGCAAGGCACCAAAGGUCCCAUCUGAGCACCUCCCCGUCACUGCCAGAGAUGGGUCCUGUGCCCGCUGGGCCUGGUUCCUCAUCAGAACGACAGAUGGCAGAGACUGCACCCAAAGAACGGCUCUAAGAAACCAACGAGGCCGGGAGAAAGUGCUGUGAGAACUGAACGAACACGAACUGUUGCCACUGUCACGAUUUGCGUCUAAGCACUUUUUCGUCAGUGGAAUCGUCUGCAGGAAAUAAAUUGCUGACACCG